CCAGCAGCUGCGGUAAUUCCAGCUCCAAUAGCGUAUAUUAAAGUUGUUGCGGUUAAAAAGCUCGUAGUUGGAUUUCUGCUUAGGACGACCGGUCCGCCUUCGGGUGUGUACCAGUGUUGUUCGAAGCAUCUUUCUAGUUGCGCCCGUGCUUAACUGUGCGGUGCGUGUUCUAGAUCUUUUACUUUGAGGAAAUUAGAGUGUUUCAAGCAGGCUUAUGCCUUGAAUACUUUAGCAUGGAAUAAUAAGGUAGGACUUCGGUUCUAUUUUGUUGGUUUCUAGAACUGAAGUAAUGAUUAAUAGGGACAAUCGGGGGCAUUCGUACUCAACAGUCAGAGGUGAAAUUCUUGGAUUUGUUGGAGACGAACUACUGCGAAAGCAUUUGCCUAGGAUGUUUUCAUCAAUCAAGAACGAAAGG
rnacentral:rRNA from 1 species